GAUGAACGCUAGCGGCAGGCCUAAUACAUGCAAGCCGAACGGCAAGUUUGAUAGCAAUAUUGGACCUGGAGUGGCGCAAGGGUGCGUAACACGUAUGCAACCUGCCCGCGACAGGAGGAUAGCUCCCCGAAAGGGGAAUUAACCAUCCAUAACACCAUGAGAAGGCAUCUGAUUAUGGUUAAACCGCAAGGGGUCGCGGAUGGGCAUGCGGUUGAUUAGCUAGUUGGCGGGGUAAAGGCCCACCAAGGCGGGGAUCAAUAGGGGUUCUGAGAGGAAGGUCCCCGACACUGGGACAGGGAUACGGGCCAGACUCCUAGGGGAGGCAGCAGUAGGGAAUAAUUGAGAAGGGUUGCAAGCCUGACCCAGCCAUGCCGCGUGCAGGAAGAAGGCCUUCUGGGGCGUAAACUGCGUUUGCGUGUGGAUAAAAUACCCGUGCGCGGGGAAUUGACGGUAACAGGGGAAUAAGCCACGGCUAACUACGUG
rnacentral:rRNA from 1 species